GACUAAUUAAACGAAAACUUACCUGUUUGAAGUUCUUUUAGUGUUAUGAAAUGAUUUAACAGUGAAAUCAAUUACAUAUUUGGUUUUCUUAAAGGCCUUAUAAUUUAGCCGGCAUAUACCUUUUUAAACAGACAUUUUCGUGGUGAUUGGUCAGGAUGUAUAACCCUAACCUGUUAAGGAAAAGGUAAUUCGAAUUAUAGCUAGAAUCGUAACAUUAGGAUCAAUUUGUUCGUCUUAAAAGAACCAAAGCAAAAUUGCAGCAUCAGCUGAUGUACCCUGGUGACAGACUACUGGUAUUAAUAAUUUUUAAAAUAAAAAGAGUCCUUGUUUGAUAUGAACAUUUUUUGCAAGGGAUAUGUGCGCUGUACUUCGGGUAUAAAGAAAGUUUAUAAUUACUAAAAAAAAAUCUAUUAUAACACUUUUUAACUGCUCGACCAAAUUAUCCUAAUUAACUCUUUUCUAAAAGGAUUUUUCAACGUGAUUUUUUUUUUGUUGCGAAAACGAUGCUCUUGAGAUUAUGAGUUUCCUACCUUAGCAUUGGCCAGUAACGUUACGACAAGCCUGUUCAUGACUGACGCCGCGCGUCUUAACCUGCGGUGAUGCACCUUUUAUUCGGCUUUAUUUCUAUCCCGUAUUUUUAUCAGGUUUGUUAUACUCCUAUUUUUGAGUCUGUAGGAGGUCAGCUUUACCCACCAGAACCUGAACUUAUUAAAAAAAAACACACACACACUCUGAACAAAAGCAACUAAGUACAGUUCUUUACGUAUUCAAAUGGUAAGUAAACAAAAAUGUGCGUUUUUUUAUAUUCAAAAUUAUUGAUCUAGACCUUCCAACAGCUUCUAUAGCAAACCCUUUAUGAAAAUUAAGUGAAUCGAAAUAUUUAUAAAAAUAAAUAUAAAUUGCAGCACCGUUGUCUUCUAAUUUUAACUAUUUAAUUAUUGAAUAUGAAUUACAUUUACUGCUUCAACUUCCUAAAUUUAACUAUAAUAACCAGACCAAUUACAUGUGAUAUUUCACAGUGAGUGGAUAUAAAAUAUUUAUUAAUUAAAUUGUUACGAUAUAAAUUAGUAUAUAAUACUGUGUAGAUCAUGACAUGUAUUGUAUUUUUUAUUAUUUUAAAUAGGGUUUGCAAAUGAACAGCCAAGUAAGGACCACAAUAGUCAAACGCUUAGCGAAAAAGAUUCGUGCGAAAAUCAAAAGGAAAUAAGGUUAAUUAGAACGACGGAUGAUAUAUCCACAAGCCACAAUAGUCUCAGAAAAAAUCAAGAUGAGAGAGUUCCUUUAAUAACAAAUACAGG